AUAUGGCUCAGGACGAACGCUGGCGGCGUGCCUAACACAUGCAAGUCGAACGGGACUACAUUGAUUAAUCUUAACGGAGCGUUGGUAUAGUUUAGUGGCGGACGGGUGAGUAACACGUGAGCAACCUGCCUUUCAGAGAGGGAUACCGUUUGGAAACGAACGCUAAUACCGCAUAGCGCAGCGGGACCGCAUGAUUCUGCUGCCAAAGGAGCGAUCCGCUGAAAGAUGGGCUCGCGGCUCCGAUUAGAUAGUUGGUGGGGUAACGGCCUACCAAGUCGACGAUCAGUAGCCGGACUGAGAGGUUGAACGGCCACAUUGGGACUGAGACACGGCCCAGACUCCUACGGGAGGCAGCAGUGGGGAGUAUUGCGCAAUGGGGGCAACCCUGAACCGCAGCAACGCCGCGUGUGGGAAGAAGGUCUUCGGAUUGUAAACCAUUGUCUUCGGUGACGAUAAUGACGGUAGCCGAGGAGGAAGCUCCGGCUAACUACGUGCCAGCCGCCGC
rnacentral:rRNA from 1 species